rnacentral:lncRNA from 1 species
GACUAUUAUUAUUUACCUAAGCGUAAUUGAAAUAAAAAUAAUUAUUAAAAUAAAUCACUCAUAAUUAAAAGUAAUAAAACAACUAAAUUUGAAAAUAAAACUAGAUUUAUUUAUAAAAGUAAUUAUACAAAACAUGAAAACAUUCCUGAAAAACAAGAUUACAGAGGAAUUGAGAGAAAUUGAGAAGAAUAGAGAUUAUCAAAAACAUUAAAAUGAGACUCUAUUUAUAGAAAAAUAAAUUCAUAAUCCAGUGUUUUGCUGUCCAUCAAAAACACAACCAUUAUAUCAAGAUCCAACGGCUGGUCAAACUUCAAAAGUCAACAUUACAUGUGGCAUCUUGCGAACCGUCCGAAUUGGUCAAAGAAUUGUAGAGAUAUGGUGGGUUAAUGGGUGGAUCGGGUCGACUCGAAUACAAAGAUUCGGAUCCUACAACUUGCUUCACCAAUCAUUACCACGUGGCACGAUCAUGGCCAUUGAAUUAUGAAUGGUUGAGAUUUAGUCAAAAUUGACAACUAUCCAACGCACUCAUAUCUAUUGUAAGCUCAUGUUAUCAUCCAAUUAGUGUUCGGUCAUCAAAACAAGGUAACGUUUUGCACAAGCUCAAUUUUAAGCCAGUCUUGACUGAUCUUACAGUUUUUAAACCUUCAGAAUCCAAAUUUGAUAUUCGUUUAUCUGUUUGAAGUCUCGAAUUACGUGAUGCGAAUCCCACACUGAAACUUUGAAACCCACACUUAAUUUGUAGUUUCAACUUCCCAAGAAAGUUCUAAACAGAUUUAUGACAAACAAAACCUUGACGCCACACUCAAGAAAUAGAUGAGAAGGUGAGUGAUAAGUCUAAACUUAGAACGCCACAAGAAUGCAAAUAUCUCUAAUAUUAUUACAUAGCAAGGUUGUUGAAUUUAAACCCAAGAUCCUAAAAAUACAAAUGGAAACAUUGGAACAACCCUGCAAGUAGGUUUGUCAAAUGAUGUUUCAAAAGUCUUCACCAACCCACCAUAAUUAAUGCUAUCUUUGACAAACUUAAUGCUAGCCUACUAUAAUUAAUGCUAUCAUUGACAAACUUAAUGUUAGCCCACCAUCAUUGAUGGUAGACUUACCUUACAAAUUGACAAACUUGAAAAAAAACAAACCAAUGAAGUUGAAAAUCAAAGGAGUCGUUGAAAAUCCCAAAUCUGAACAAGCUGUAAUGAAUUAGUCAUAAUUCCUUCUAGAGAACUCCAAAUCCAGCUCUGUAAAAUUUAUUGGAAAGCUAACUUAAUUAGCUUUCCAAUGGUAUAUAGUUUGCACAUUACUUCUAGCUCAAUCAAUACAGUUUUUAUUCCGAAUUUGACCUUUCUGCAUUUGAUACAAAUUGUGUAUUUGGCGACCCAAUAACUUGAAUAAUGCCCACAAUGCCUUGAUUUCUCUUCAAGCCCAAUUCAUGAUGUCUUGCAUCUUGAAUUGCAUUUUCAAUCCAUAUUUUCUCAAUUAAUCCAUUUAAAGCAGCUUGCAUCUUUUUGGCUCUUGCUCUUGUAAUUGGGCCUCCAUGAAUGUGCAAAGGAUCACUUGAAGUUUUAAUGGUAUUCCCUUGAUGGUUCUCAUCAUUCCCCCUCUCCUCAAAAGGAUUCGUCCUUGAAUCUUCACCUACAUCAAAAGGAGAAAGAUCAGAAACAUUAAAAGUAGCACUCACAUUAUACUCACUAGGAAGAUCCAAUUUGUAGGCAUUGUCAUUGAUCCAUGCAACCACUUGAAAUAGACCAUCUCCCCUUGGAAGCAACUUGGAACGCCUUUGUGCUGGGAACCUCUCCUUUUGUAGGCAUUGUCAUUGAUCCAUGCACCCAAACCCAAUCUCCAAGCUGAAAAACCACUUGCUUACGUCCUUUGUUGGCUUGAGUAGCAUAUUGUUUAGUUCUCUUUUCUAUGUGUUGACGUGUUCUCCCAUGCAAUUGCUUGACAAAUUUAGCUUUCUUUUUACCAUCCAUACUAGCACACUCAUCAAUAGGUAAAGGUAAUAAAUCCAAAGGAGUUAAUGGAUUAAAACCAUAUACAAUCUCAAAUGGUGAAAAUUUAGUAGCUGAAUGGACAGUUCUAUUGUAAGCAAAUUCAACAUGUGGCAAACAUUCUUCCCAAGUUUUCAAGUUCUUUUGAAUAAUGGCACGCAACAAAGUAGACGGUGUUCUAUUUACAACCUUAGUUUGUCUAUCAGUUUGUGGAUGACAAGUAGUAGAAAACAAAAGUUUAGUACCCAACUUACCCCACAAAGUUUUCCAAAAGUGGCUCAAGAACUUAGCAUCUCGAUAUGAGACUAUGCUCCUUGGUACUCCAUGCAACCUGACUAUUUCCUUGAAAAACAAAUUAGCUAUGUUUGUUGCAUCAUCAGUUUUGUGACAUGGAAUGAAAUGUGCCAUCUUUGAAAACCUAUCAACAACAACAAAAACAAAAUCAUUUCCCCUUUUUGACCUAGGUAAACCCAAAACAAAGUCCAUAGAAAUAUCAACCCAAGGUUCACUAGGUAUGGGCAGAGGGUUAUACAAUCCAUGGGGUAAAACUCUAGACUUAGCAUGUUUACAAGUGAUACACUUCUCACAUAUUCUUUCAACAUCACAUUUCAUAUGUGGCCAAAAGAAGUGUUCUUUUAAAACAUCUAAAGUCUUUGCAAUGCCAAAAUGUCCCAUUAAACCACCCCCAUGAGCUUCACGCACAAGCAAUUCACACAAAGAACUAUGAGGCACACACAAUUUAUUUUCUCUAAAUAAAAGCCCAUCAUGCCUAUUGAACUUACCAAAUGCAACUUUCUCACAAGCAUUAAAUACAUUAGCAAAAUCAGGAUCGUUAACAUAUAAUUCUUUAAUGUACUCAAAUCCUAACAACUUUGCAUUCAAUGUAGAGAUAAGUGCAUACCUUCUAGAUAAUGCAUCAGCCACCACAUUCUCCUUACCUUGUUUAUAUUUGAUCACAUAAGGAAAUGGCUCAAUAAAUUCAACCCAUUUGGCAUGUCUCUUAUGUAACUUACCUUGCCCUUUCAAAUGCUUCAAGGACUCAUGAUCAGUGUGUAUAACAAACUCUUUAGGUAGAAGAUAAUGUUGCCAAGUUUCCAAUGCUCUUACCAAUGCAUACAUCUGCUUGUCAUAGGUAGGAUAGUUUAGGGUUGCUCCACUCAAUUUCUCACUAAAGUAAGCAAUUGGACGCCCUUCUUGCAUCAAAACAGCUCCAAUACCUAUACCUAAAGCAUCACACUCAAUUUCAAAAGUUUUAGUAAAAUCAGGUAAAGCAAGUAAUGGUGCAGAAACCAAUUUCUCCUUAAUUAGAUUAAAUGCCCUUUCUUGUUCACUACCCCACUUAAAUCCCACAUGUUUCUUCACAAUUUCAGUUAAUGGUGCAGCAAGGGUGCUAAAAUCUUUCACAAAUCUUCUAUAAAAACUAGCCAAACCAUGAAAAAUUCUUACCACACUUACACUUUUAGGUGUAGGCCACUCUUUAAUAGCCUUUACUUCUCUUCAUCAACCUCAAUUCCUUUAGCACUUACAACAUAACCAAGAAAAAAAAUCUGAUUUGUACAAAAGGAACACUUCUUCAAAUUAGCAUACAACUUUUCCUUCCUUAAAACAGUCAAUACACUUUGCAAAUGUUCAAUGUGUUCAUCUAAGCCUUUGCUAUAGAUCAAAAUAUCAUCAAAAUAGAUAACUACGAAUUUACCAAUAAAAGCACCCAAAAUAUGGUUCAUUAACCUCAUAAAAAGUGCUAGGUGCAUUAGANNNNNNNNNNNNNNNNNNNNNNNNNNNNNNNNNNNNNNNNNNNNNNNNNNNNNNNNNNNNNNNNNNNNNNNNNNNNNNNNNNNNNNNNNNNNNNNNNNNNNNNNNNNNNNNNNNNNNNNNNNNNNNNNNNNNNNNNNNNNNNNNNNNNNNNNNNNNNNNNNNNNNNNNNNNNNNNNNNNNNNNNNNNNNNNNNNNNNNNNNNNNNNNNNNNNNNNNNNNNNNNNNNNNNNNNNNNNNNNNNNNNNNNNNNNNNNNNNNNNNNNNNNNNNNNNNNNNNNNNNNNNNNNNNNNNNNNNNNNNNNNNNNNNNNNNNNUAUUAGGAAUGGUAGCUCCAGGGAUGAAGUCUAUUGAUGCUCAAUCCCCUAAUAGGUGGCAAACCGUUAGGGACUUCAUUUGGAAACACAUCAUCAAAGUCUGCAAAAGAGUCACAAUAGCACUAGGCAAAGAAAAGUUAAGCUCAUUAGUGUGUAAACAAGCCUCUUUGCACAAAAGUACAAUGAUAGGCUGUUUUGAAAAGAAAGCCCUCUUAACCUCGUUCUCUUUUGCAAACAAGUUCACUUGUUGCCUCUGUUUUCUCUCAACAAUAUUUUUUUCUAUCUUUUCACUUGGUUUUCUUUCAAUCUCUCUUUCUUUUGUACUCUCAUUUUCAUUUUUUGUAUCACUCUCUUUUGGUAUUGACAUUUGAUCCUCAUACACUUGCCUAGGUGUUAAUGGUACAAGAGUGAUUUGCCUUUUAUUCAUUACAAAAGAAUAUCUAUUUAAGUAACCAUCAUGUGUCACACGCCUAUCAUAUUGCCAAGGUCGACCCAAAAGAAUGUGUCCAGCAUGCAUGGGUACUACAUCACAUAGAACCUCAUCCUUGUAUCUCCCAAUAGAGAAUGAAACCAGCACUUGUUUAUUUACUUUAACAUCCCCACAAUCAUUCAACCAUUGUAGCUUAUAUGGCCUUGGAUGUUUCAAAGUUUUCAAAUUUAAUUUUUCAACUAAACUAGUGCUAGCUACAGUAGUACAACUUCCACCAUCAAUUAUCAUACUACAUACCUUAUCUUUGAUGUGGCAUCUAGUAUGAAAGAUGUUAUCACGUUGUACCUCCGCAUCCUCUUUUACUUGCAUGUUGAGAGCACACCUAGCAACCAUCAAUUUACCAUCAAUAGGAUAUUCUACACCAUCAUUAGCAUCCUCCAAAGGUGGCAUAGGAUCAUCAUUUGAUUCACUCUCGUAUUUGGGCAUUGAGAUGCAAUAUGACCUGUCCCCAAACAUUUAAAACACUUAAUAUCUCUAUUUCUAGAGUGUUGGGAAUCAGAUUUACCUUUGCUUUGGUUGCCUCCCUCUUUAUGAUCCUUGAUUGGCUCAAUCUUAGGCUUUGAAACAACCUUUUCAUCUUUGCUCCAUUUUGACUUCCAUGAGGAAGAUGAACCCAAAUUGGUUCUAGUUCCACUUUCAUGGCCAUGUGAACCAUGUCUUCCAACUCAACAUAGUGCUUCAAGUCAACCACAUUAACAAUAUCUUGAUUUAAACCAUGUAAAAAUCUUGCCAUAGUGGCCUCUCGUUCUUCUUCAAUGUUGGCUCGAAUCAUGAUUAUUUCCAUCUCCUUGUGGUAAUCUUCCACACUUCUAGAACCUUGUGUAAGACUUUGAAGCCUUUGGUGCAGCUCCCUAUAAUAAUGACUAGGAACAAAUCUCCUCCUCAUGAUGGCCUUCAUCUCAUCCCAAGUGUUUAUAGGCCUUUCACGAUUUCGUCUCCUACUCAAAACCAGUUGAUCCCACCAAAUAAUAGCAUAAUCAAUAAAUUCAACAGCAGCUAGUUUUACCUUUUUCUCCUCAGAGUAGUUGUGGCAAUCCAAUACUAGCUCCACCUUUUUUUCCCACUCCAAAUAAGCUUCCGGAUCAUUUUGACCUUGAAAAGAAGGAAUUUUUAGUUUGAUAAUCCCCAAAUCACGAUCUAUACGUCUUGCCCUUCUAUUAUUUCUUCCACGCAUGUCAACAGUGGCCUGGUCAUCAAAAUCAUCUAUGUCAUCGCCAUCUUCUUCUCCCAUGAUAGCACGCCCUUGAUUACGUCUUACAUUAGGAGCUAUUGGUUGUUGUCCCCAUUGUCGAUUAGCUAUGGCAGUGUCUUGCCUCUCCAAUUUGUCAUGUAUCUCUCCAAACAUCAGAUUCAUGUGCUCAAAUUGUUGUUGCAUGGCUUUGAGCAUGAUUGAUUGGUCUAUAGCUUCUUGAUCUUUUGACAUAUUUUUGAUCUGAAAAGAAUGUUAGCAAAAAGACCUCACAACACUCACUCACGUGUUUCAUUCAAUUUGAUGUCACUUAACUCUCGUGUUUAACACACAAAUUGGCUUUUACCCUCUAAUGAUCUCACAAACUUUUGCCUUUUACCACACUUAAUUCUCUCUUUCAGUUCUUUAUUGAACUAAAUAAAUAAAAUCAAGAAAAAAAAAACCCAAGUGGCACACCAAAUAUGACAAUCCAGCACACUAACAAAGAAAAGAAAUUAAGAGGACACAAAGAAUGAAAAGGAAAUUGAAGAAAGGAAAGAAAGCAAGCAAGGCAACACAAUUGAUAUGUGUGUAAACUAUGCCAAGGAAAAUGAAUAACUAAAAUUCAAUUUGAUGAAAGUAGAAAUACUUGAAUCCUUUUGUAAUCUUUUUUUUUGUACGUUUUUCUUUUUUUUAUAAUAAAAAUAAAUAAGACAUUCAAACCUGAUUAGAAACUAGCUCUGAUACCAAAUGAUGUGAAUCCCAUAAUGAAACAUUGAAACCCACACUUAAUUUGUAGUUUCAACUUCCCAAGAAAGUUCUAAACAGAUUUAUGACAAACAAAACCUUGACCCAAUGCUUAAGAAAACAUGAACCAAAGGUAUAGAAAAUGAUAUUGACGCCACACUCAAAAAAUAGAUGAGAAGGUGAGUGAUAAGUCUAAAUUUAGAACGCCACAAGAAUGCCAAAAGAACCAAAGAAAGAAUAAUCUUUCAAAUUCAAAUAACAUUAAUCUCUAAUAUUAUUACAUAGCAAGGUUGUUGAAUUUAAAUAGGCUAAAAGAAACCCAAGAUCCUAAAAAUAUAAAUGGAAACAUUGGAACAACCCUCCAAGUAGGUUUGUCAAAGGAUGUUUCAAAAGUCUUCACCAACCCACCAUAAUUAAUGCUAUCUUUGACAAACUUAAUGCUAGCCUACUAUAAUUAAUGCUAUCAUUGACAAACUUAAUGUUAGCCCACCAUCAUUGAUGGUAGACUUACCUUACACAUUGACAAACUUAAUGUUAGCCCACCAUCAUUGAUGGUAGACUUACCUUACACAUUGACAAACUUGAAACAAAACAAACAAAUGAAGUUGAAACUACAAAUUAAGUGUGGGUUUCAAAGUUUCAUUGUGGGAUUCACAUCAUUACG